GCUAGCAUUUGAUGUUUUGCUUCAACGUCCUCGAAAAAUCAAUCAAACAAAAACGGCCGCCCAGGGCUGCACUUUCGGGGUUGUCCUAUCACUGAAUCGAUUAGUUGUCGUUAAUAUCGAUACGGCGCGAUAUCUCACUCUACCUCCUUAAAUCUAAGCAGCAGCCAAGAAAGAGGCAAAAUCAUCAAGUAAAUAAUUACGAAACAGGGUCGCCCGCCACCCGCUCCCUUGUCACCUGAGCCUAUGCCAAUGGCAAUUAAGCGUGGGCUCCCACACACCAAAGCGACCGCAAUGUGACCUAUCCACCGACCCACCUGAAUGGACCAUACUGCCCAGGACAUUAUAGUAAUGAAGCCAGCACAGUCAAUUUCAAUAACGCAAUCAAAUGCGUGCAGUUUCAAAACCACAAAAGCCAAACAAGAAGAAGAGGAACCAAAUGCCAUUCACAAAGCCAUGGCCAAUACUCAAACAGUGUGUCCGGUCGAGGCAAUCUUUUUGGGCAUUCCUGGCACGUAUUUCCAAUGGCCAUAGCUGGAACGGGAUGUGGUACUUCUCCGAGAAAAGGAAGCCCCCGAUAAUGGCCUGGCGAGUCGCAUGCAUAUUUCAGUAAUUUGCGCCACCUUUUGUGUGGUACGGCAUUCACCUCUACCCGUGUAGUGUACACCGCCCGUGUCCCAUCCCAGUCAUUUCCGGUCUACAUAUUUCAUGAGGGCACCAAAGUUUGCGGAUGCAGCAAUUUUAAGAAAAAGCAGAGGAAACUUGAGUGGAACCACUCAAAAUGUAAUCGAAGUGUCUUAGACGCACCCCCACGCACCUGAAUAGUCGCUCUUUUAUGUGUGUUUGUGUUUGCAUCUGUAUUCAUGGCGUCUCUCGUCUCGCCCCCAAUCCCAAUCCCAGCCCAGACUCCUCUGAUGUUGGACGAAGUCAUCUUGAUUUUCAAUUUCAACGCCAUUUGCGCUUCACUGCCAUUGGAAGUCAUUUGCAUUUUUCUCCAUCUUACUGUUGCGUACCCCCAGGGGGCAUAUGCACUAGCUGGUUGGGAGGACUAACUAAUUUUUGGGGGAGUUAGAUCGGAGAACGACAUUUGCAGAUCAAAAAUAGAUUUUCAGUUAAUUCAGUUCUCUAUAGAGUUCGAUUGGUAUACAUUUAGAGGUACAACUUGUAGCUAAUAAGACGCUGACGUUCCCUAAAGAGCUUCGAGCUCCUCAAGAGUAUCUAAUAUUUGGCUAGAUUUGUCCUCUCCGCGUUCCCGUUGUGUAGCCCAAUAGGUGAUAAUGCUAAUAAUAAGUCGAGUCAAUUGACAAAAAGUUUCGUCAUUUUCAAACAGCCCCCAGCCACACCCGCUGGCAAUUUGUAGACAUCCCGCAGUAAAUUUAUUGAAUGUGGAAAUUUUAAAAUUGUUCAUUUGAGAAACAAUUUGGGAGCAUAAAAUACAGACAAAAUGCCUUCGUUUUCUUAUGUCAGCAUUGUCUGCCAUAAGUUCGAAUAUAUGGCAAUAAAAAGACACUGUUGUUGUUGUUGUUGUCCUUGCUCUCUGGGGCCACCAACAACAAGCGCCCCGAGCAUUCCAAGUGAGUUUGUCUGUCUGUCUGUCUUUGUGUAUUUUUAUGUGAUUUCUCAAGCCAUCUUCUAUCUGGGGAGGAUGGAAAGUGCUCUCAUGUGCGAUUGAAUGGGAAAUAGGGAAAAUGUUAUGCCAUUUAUUUAGAGCAUUUCCAGCAAGGCAAGUCCCAGUGCCAAUUGUGCAACUUACUCAAUGAAAUGUAAAUGCGAAUCAAUUGUAGUUUUAUUUGAAGUAAUUCCUGAUUCAACAAAAUCGACUGCCAGUAAAAGCAUUUAAUUUCGAAUAUUCAAUUUCAAUUUCCAUUUGCAUAUUGCUGUGUGACUUUCAUUAGCAUCAAUUUAGUUAGUUAGUCAAAUGGUUACUUCGUUAGUUGGAGUCACUAAAAGAGUUGAGGUUCCUCUGGGGUCUGGAGUCUGCCGGGGCGAAAACAUCAAAAAGCACUUUGUGGAGGAGCAAACUUUCGGUGGUUCGGAAUACUGAUUCGUACCUGAGCAGAUGUAGAAUAUACAUAUAUAUACAUAAGCUGUACGUGAGAUCUCCCCGCUAACCAAUUUGAUUUGCCCCGCCCCGCCCGACUGCCAGCGUCACCGCCUCUUGCCCCGGCCCGGCCCCGGCCACAUCUGCCCUCUGUUUACACCUCUUGAGGUCGGCUGCUUCGCAUGCAUAUCAACGAUUUUCAAAUUGGCGACGAAAUGAUAUGCCAAACUACACGGCAGAACAGGAGAGCCCCGGAAUUCACCUUUCGCCGAGCCGUGGACGGGGACCUGAAGGACCUGCAGGCAGGCGUCAACGGCGACAUCGACAUUAUCGUGGCACAGGCUGUAGCUGUAGCUGUAGCUAAUGCUUGUCACGUCUCCUUCAACAUUUGACAAGCCAAAUUCGACAAAAAAAUCCGCACGUUGUCGUGCCGUCCCGUCUCUGACUUUGUUUUUCGAUUCGACGAAGAAAAUGAUUUUCACAGGUGAAUUGGAAAGCGCGUAAUGUUGUAAUGUUUGACUUGGCAGCAGGCACGUACCCCAUCCUCCGUGUUCGCCCGGCACUGGGAGAAAUGGUGAAAGCCUCCAUAUGGUCUGUGAGCAAUUGAUGUUGCAACUAUUCCUGCCAGUGUAGCACUCAUGUGCCGCAUCGACGAGCCAACGCUGCGUAUGCGUAUCCGUAUGCGUAUUCCGAAUGCGAGGCGCCACUUUUGCAAAUUGGAUGAAAAUCUUUGGCUUUUCAGCAGCGCAAUUCGUUUGCCUUUUUAUUUUCCUUAUUCACCUUUUUGUUGCUUUGUUUCGCCUUGGGUGUUGCUCGUGUGGGAUGCAUCAGCCUGGAAAUUGACAUGUCUUGGCCAUGUCAGCCCGAACACAAGCCCAAGCACAGCCCUGGCAGUGGGUUGCAUUUAUUCAAAGGCCAAAGGGAUGACAGACACAUAGAAAAUAUGCCUCCCUCAUUCAUCAUGACACGUCUGGGCCUGUCACACGAGAAAGAGCCACAACAUUUAAGGGAAAAGGAUUUACAGCAUACUAGUUCUAGCCAACACCUGCACAAACAGGACAGCACAACACGAGCCAGGAGACAAGUUCUGGGCAGCUUACCUCGUGUUCUUUCUCGAGAUUAUUUUUGUAAACUUUUUCACUUCGCUUCAAGAAACAAAUUCAAACAAAUUGAAGAGCUUCGCUCUGUGGCUCUCCUUUGGCAUUCUGGAAUCCAUUCCAGCCAGCAUUCCUGAAUGGGGUAGAGCGGGGAGGGGGAAGCUGGGCUCACCUUGGCGCCCAUUAAAUGAACUGAGCCAACAUGUGUUACAGAGUCCGACGAGUGCAAAAUAUGUUUCACGUUGCCCAAACUCGUAACUCUUUGCUGGGGAGCCGGAGCUAAACUUUUUUACGUUUUUAUUGCCCAAAGUGAGUAUGGAGCUGAAGGAUGCGAUGGCUUUGGCUACUCGUAUAUGUAUGUACGGUUCUUGGGGAUGAGAAAACUUAAAGUUUCAGUGGGCUGGCAGAUUCAUCUGCUGGCGAUUGCAGCCGGGUAUGCUCCUGCUGUCACUGAGGUUCAUUGAACCAAAUGCCAAGCGGAGCGCAUUUCCGCAUGUCCCUGUCUGAGUCGAGGUCGGAGUCGGAGUCGGGAUCCGGGGUCCCUGUUAGCUGCAAAUAAACUUUGCUGAGUGGCUGGCUCGGAGACGGAUACGGAUUCGGGUACGGAGACGUGGCCUGGCUUUGAUAAAUGUGCACAUAAUUAUGGUUCCUGCUCCUGGUGUGCUUUGAAUGGACCCUGAAGCGUUGAGAUGCAAUGCGAGGUGCGGGAGCGGAAUGGGAAAUGGGAAACGGAAAAUGGGAACCCACACUUGACGCUCGAGCGUAGAGAGUGUCUUUAAAGCGUCUCACUGCGACGAUGUGACCUGCUUAAAGCCUCUAUGCUCACAUCAGGUCUUAAUUAAUGUUGCAUAAUUAACAGAGCAAGAAGAAGCACCCAAGGAAGCGUUGAGGACGGGCGCUGGGCCGGCAGCGGGUCUAACGAUGGGGUUAAGAAAAAAGGUAGGCGAAACAAAGUUCAGGAAAAGCAAAGCCAAACAAAACAAAAACUUUUCUAAGCAUCUGCAAAACAUAAAGCAUACAAAUUCUCACAUCUCACAUCCCAUCCGCAUACCCCGCAACCAGGAGACCCGCAGAACAUGGCAAAAAAUUUGUGGCUGACUGAAAAGACCUCCCAAAGGGCAAGGCAGCCACAGCAAACAGCCUUUUGGCCACCUCUGACUUGGGGAACGCCCCCAAAUUGGCGCCAAGUUUUAAUUAUUCCAUCAUAUUUAUAAACUUUUGUACUUGCCACGCAGACUCAUUAUGUGCGUCACCCCACCGACCACCCCGCCACAACGCCGCGCCCACGCACACCCCACUCUCACCCUCGUGUUGGCCUCAUGUAUACUCCAUCCUUCAGUGGCGGCUAUAACUAUAAGGCAAGUGCCUUCUUGUUGUUUCCCCCCUGGUUCCUGUGUCGUCUCACAAUAAUGGCUGGCGACAAUGGCGGCAAGGACAAUGACGACGUCUGGGCAGGCCCGUCUUAGCUCCAUCCAGGCUGUUGGCGAGCCAGGCAGCAGGGACAUGGAGGCACAAGGCGUUACUCCAUAAAAAUGAACAACAGCUUUUUAUUGUCGAACAAUGAAGGCGAAAGCAGCUCUAAACAAGCACAGCCAAGCAGAGCAAAGCAGAGGCAGAGGCGGAGAGAGGGGCAAAGCAAAGUUCGACCUUUCUUUUAACUUACGAUCCUGUUUGCUGUCGUUGUCCUUGUCUUUGUUGCUGUGGGUGCCAUUGGUGUGAGCAUUUAAUGAGGCUGUUCCAUUAUUGUUCAAUUGUGCUUGGCUUGCCUGAGGAAUCUCUAUAUGCACACGGCUUGAAGGGAGCGGAGGAAAAAGCCCCUUUUGAUGACAGCUCUCUAAUUAAUCGAUUUAUCGAAGAGUCAACCCAGUUUUAUGAAUACUCAAAACAGAAGGCCCUAAGCCAGGCCCUAAAGCACUGCCAAGAGAGCCAUGAAAAAGGAAGCUGCUUUUUUGAUUGCAAAUUAAAUCGAUGAAUUACCACAUUAAUCGAACUGCCAUCGCGAUUAGAAAUCCUGCGAGUACAAAAAGGAGCCAGCCACCAACGAUUAAUCCGCCUGAGUCCAGUCUAAUAAGCCUCAGGACAGCUGGAUCAGACCAUAGCGAAGGCUCCUCUGACCUGAACCCCCUUGGAUCACUCACCAUUUUCCGGUUUGCUGGAAUAUCCGCAGAACGGCAGGAUGCCCGCCUUGGGUCAAAAUUAAUUGAAUGGCAAUGGCAACGGGGAAAAAGUUUCGCAACCAUUUCGCUGAUGAAACUAAUAACAUGUCAACCGUGUUACGCACCAAAGCACACGGAGGAGGCACUGAAGCAUACUCCUUUGCCUUCGGCUCUGUCCCCUGCCUCCUCUGUCCCCCACGACGUCUCCACCACUCAAAGGCUAAACGAGGCUCAACGCUGACACUCAAAGCUGACAAGUUAAGCCUGCCGCACAUGGCGAUUAGGCGGGGAAGAAGGCAUGGAAUGGGAUGGGAAGGGAUGGUAUGCACUCCCCUCCUCUAGAUUAGCACUUUGUUGCAGUUGGAAAAGCGGGAAAUCUGGACGCCUGAAUGUUCUUUUGAUUGCGCACUUUUUGAGUGCGACACAGAGGUAGCAUCAGGGGUAAAAGACACAUGAAGAGCUUCGUUAGCCCCGCGGCAAUCGCUAGACCCAGAAAGCAGACUGUAGCUUGAAUACUACACGUAAUAUUGAAUCGCAAUGCACCAGGAGCUGGAUCUGAGUGGUGAUGGUGGUGGUGCAGGGAGGCAGAGGCUCGAGGAACCCCCCGAAUGCGCAUAGUUGGAGUGAUAAACUGCUUUGGCACGGAAAUGGCCCUGGAAAUGGAAAUGAUGUCGAGUGUGCCAGUGUGCAUAAAAAGGCCAAUUAGAGGACGGCAGAGAUGCACGUUUCCCGGCCUACACUUGGAGAAAACAACGUGAAAGAAUCUGAUUAAAUAAAGCUGAAGCAGAUCGACUUAGGUCUUGUAUUUC